rnacentral:rRNA from 1 species
GAUGAACGCUGGCGGCGUGCCUAAUACAUGCAAGUCGAGCGAACAGACGAGGAGCUUGCUCCUGUGACGUUAGCGGCGGACGGGUGAGUAACACGUGGAUAACCUACCUAUAAGACUGGGAUAACUUCGGGAAACCGGAGCUAAUACCGGAUAAUAUAUUGAACCGCAUGGUUCAAUAGUGAAAGACGGUUUUGCUGUCACUUAUAGAUGGAUCCGCGCCGCAUUAGCUAGUUGGUAAGGUAACGGCUUACCAAGGCAACGAUGCGUAGCCGACCUGAGAGGGUGGUCGGCCACACUGGAACUGAGACACGGUCCAGACUCCUACGGGAGGCAGCAGUAGGGAAUCUUCCGCAAUGGGCGAAAGCCUGACGGAGCAACGCCGCGUGAGUGAUGAAGGUCUUCGGAUCGUAAAACUCUGUUAUUAGGGAAGAACAAAUGUGUAAGUAACUAUGCACGUCUUGACGGUACCUAAUCAGAAAGCCACGGCUAACUACGUG